AUUGAACGCUGGCGGCAUGCCUUACACAUGCAAGUCGAACGGCAGCGGGGGAGAAGCUUGCUUUUCCUGCCGGCGAGUGGCGAACGGGUGAGUAAUACAUCGGAACGUGCCCUGUAGUGGGGGAUAACUAGUCGAAAGAUUAGCUAAUACCGCAUACGACCUGAGGGUGAAAGUGGGGGACCGCAAGGCCUCAUGCUAUAGGAGCGGCCGAGGUCUGAUUAGCUAGUCGGUGGGGUAAAGGCCUACCAAGGCGACGAUAAGUAGCUGGUCUGGGAGGACGAUCAGCCACACGGGGACGGGGACACGGACCAGACUCCUACGGGAGGGAGCAGUGGGGAAUUUUGGACAAUGGGCGAAAGCCUGAUCCAGCAAUGCCGCGUGUGUGAAGAAGGCCUUCGGGUUGUAAAGCACUUUUGUCCGGAAAGAAAUGGCUCUGGUUAAUACCUGGGGUCGAUGACGGUACCGGAAGAAUAAGGACCGGCUAACUACGUGCCAGCCGCCGCCGUAA
rnacentral:rRNA from 1 species